ensembl:lncRNA
GGUAUAUGGGGUUUAUAGGGUCUAUUAUAGGGUCUAUAUGGUCUAUAUGGCCCACCCUGGCCUGCAUGAGCACUGCCUGUCUAUAGGACAAUAGGUCUAUGGGGUUUAUAGGGUCUAUAGGACAAUUAUAGGGUCUAUGGGGUUUAUAGGGUCUAUUAUAGGGUCUAUAGGACAAUUAUAGGGACAAUUAUAGGGUCUAUAGGGUCUAUGGUGUUCCCACCCUGGCCUGCAUGAGCGCUGCCUGUCUAUAGGACAAUAGGUCUAUGGGGUUUAUAGGGUCUAUUAUAGGGGUCUCUAUGGGGUUCCCACCCUGGCCUGCAUGAGCGCUGCCUGUCUAUAGGACAAUAGGUCUAUG